GGCGAACGGGUGAGUAAUGUAUCGGAACGUGCCCAGUUGUGGGGGAUAACUGCUCGAAAGAGCAGCUAAUACCGCAUACGACCUGAGGGUGAAAGCGGGGGAUCGCAAGACCUCGCGCAAUUGGAGCGGCCGAUAUCAGAUUAGGUAGUUGGUGGGGUAAAGGCUCACCAAGCCGACGAUCUGUAGCUGGUCUGAGAGGACGACCAGCCACACUGGGACUGAGACACGGCCCAGACUCCUACGGGAGGCAGCAGUGGGGAAUUUUGGACAAUGGGCGCAAGCCUGAUCCAGCCAUGCCGCGUGCGGAAAGAAGGCCUUCGGGUUGUAAACCGCUUUUGUCAGGGAAGAAAAGGCUCCUGUUAAUACCGGGGGCUCAUGACGGUACCUGAAGAAUAAGCACCGGCUAACUACGUGCCAGCAGCCGCGGUAAUACGUAGGGUG
rnacentral:rRNA from 1 species